GGAGUUGUGGCUCAGUGGUAGAGCGCUUGCCUAGCAUGCACGAGGCCCUGGGUUCAAUCCCCAGCACCA
rnacentral:tRNA from 1 species